rnacentral:rRNA from 1 species
ACACAUGCAGUCGAGCGGAUGAAGAGAGCUUGCUCUCUGAUUCAGCGGCGGACGGGUGAGUAAUGCCUAGGAAUCUGCCUGAUAGUGGGGGACAACGUUUCGAAAGGAACGCUAAUACCGCAUACGUCCUACGGGAGAAAGCAGGGGACCUUCGGGCCUUGCGCUAUCAGAUGAGCCUAGGUCGGAUUAGCUAGUUGGUGAGGUAACGGCUCACCAAGGCGACGAUCCGUAACUGGUCUGAGAGGAUGAUCAGUCACACUGGAACUGAGACACGGUCCAGACUCCUACGGGAGGCAGCAGUGGGGAAUAUUGGACAAUGGGCGAAAGCCUGAUCCAGCCAUGCCGCGUGUGUGAAGAAGGUCUUCGGAUUGUAAAGCACUUUAAGUUGGGAGGAAGGGCAUUAACCUAAUACGUUAGUGUUUUGACGUUACCGACAGAAUAAGCACCGGCUAACUUCGUGCCAGCAGCCGCGGUAAUACGAAGGGUGCAAGCGUUAAUCGGAAUUACUGGGCGUAAAGCGCGCGUAGGUGGUUUGUUAAGUUGAAUGUGAAAGCCCCGGGCUCAACCUGGGAACUGCAUCCAAAACUGGCAAGCUAGAGUAUGGCAGAGGGUGGUGGAAUUUCCUGUGUAGCGGUGAAAUGCGUAGAUAUAGGAAGGAACAUCAGUGGCGAAGGCGACCACCUGGGCUAAUACUGACACUGAGGUGCGAAAGCGUGGGGAGCAAACAGGAUUAGAUACCC